GACGAACGCUGGCGGCGUGCCUAAUACAUGCAAGUAGAACGCUGAAGAGAGGAGCUUGCUCUUCUUGGAUGAGUUGCGAACGGGUGAGUAACGCGUAGGUAACCUGCCUUGUAGCGGGGGAUAACUAUUGGAAACGAUAGCUAAUACCGCAUAACAAUGGAUGACACAUGUCAUUUAUUUGAAAGGGGCAAUUGCUCCACUACAAGAUGGACCUGCGUUGUAUUAGCUAGUAGGUGAGGUAAUGGCUCACCUAGGCGACGAUACAUAGCCGACCUGAGAGGGUGAUCGGCCACACUGGGACUGAGACACGGCCCAGACUCCUACGGGAGGCAGCAGUAGGGAAUCUUCGGCAAUGGGGGCAACCCUGACCGAGCAACGCCGCGUGAGGGAAGAAGGUUUUCGGAUCGUAAAGUUCUGUUGUAAGUCAAGAACGGGUGUGAGAGUGGAAAGUUCACACUGUGACGGUAGCUUACCAGAAAGGGACGGCUAACUACGUG
rnacentral:rRNA from 1 species